AUGCUCAUGCUGCUGGUUCGUGAGUCACACUUAGGGUAGUAAGACUAUAAAGGGCAUCUGCACUAUGGUGUCAUAGAGAACAACUGGGUUAGAGGGAAAUGUUAGGGAAUCAGGGAACACUGGAGGUCACAUUUAGCUGAAUUCUGAUAUACGUGGAGGAUCCAUGAGUUAGAGGAACCAGGAGAAGGGCAAGUGCAAAGGCCCUGAGACAGGAAAGACUCUUGUGCUCACAAUCAGAGGGGAAUGAGCAAAGGAUGAAGAAUCUGAGAUGAGCUCCAAAAAGUAGUCAGGAGCCAGAUCCUGAGGGCUUUGUCUGCGCUGGUGAGAAGUUAUGUUUCAUUAGACAAUAAAUGAGAAUGCAAUGAAGUGAUGUAAGCAGAAAAGUGACACUGCGGAUGUAAAUGAGAGAGAAAGUAAGUAAACCUAUCAGCGGCCCUUGCCAGAGUCCAGGAGAGACAGAGGAACCAGCAGAAGAGAGAGAAUGUCCAGGGAUGUCUGAGGAACACCAGGGAAGUUACAUUUGACAGAGGACUCCAUCAUCAGACCAGUGAUCUCCACAGAACGGCUCUCCUCUCCCGCCCACUGAGAGUGCCAACCACACGGGAAACAUUCUUCGUGAAGAUACAUACAGCACAUCCACAAAGGAUCCCAGGCAGUUGGAAUAUUCCCCAUACAAGUGUUUCCUUCACUCAUCCUGCCCACCGCUGCAUAGUCCUUUGCAAAAUAACUGCAUGUAAAUUCGAGAAAAAAGUGUUCAUUUUCUUACCGAUCAACAGUCCGGCACAAAGAAUGCAAAGGCACUCUAGCUUAAAAGAGACAGCCUGCCUAAAAUGGGAUGGUAUUUUGCUAGUGUGAAUUUUAUUAGCUUUAAAGUGUAAGGUCCCUGGUGUUUUCUAUAAUAAUGAAAGAUUGGGUAUUGACAAAGCCGUCCUUAACUUUCUCCUCUGCUUGAUUUAACUUUAGACAGACUUCUUCCUGAUUCUAGGCUCUGGCCUCACCUUUCUUAGAGCAUUUUCUUUAGAAAACUUGUAAAUUCUUUCUCCAGUCCUUUGGAAUAUAAAUCUUAUUAAAAGCCUCUUGGCAGUUUUAUAAGCUAGGACUGUCUUCUUCUAGGCCCUGGUAGCCAUCCCUCUGAAAUGUAAUCAUCAGGGAAGAAAAAGCCCCAAUCGCCCAGCCUCUGUGGGAGGGUAGGAGCCUUUCUUCGGUGGACACAUCUCUCCCAGUUGCACAACUAUCUUCUGCUUCCUUUGGAUAAGGCCCAUUAGCAAACACGGAUGGCCUAUGAUCCACGCCCCCACUCCAUUUCCAACAACCUCUCCUGCCCUUUGUUUCAGCAAAAUUGAAUUCAGACUGCAUUCUGGUCUUUCUCCUCUAUUGCAAUGACCCUGAAGAAAGUCAUCCUUACCUGUUUAACUUUGUCCAGUGCAAUUUUUGCUGUGACAGUAUACAUAAUUUUUUAUCACUAAUUAUGUCGUGUAUGCACUGUCUUCAUUACCUUUAUUACUCGCCAUGAACAAAAUCCAUGAGAGCUGGAGUACGUAUA